AUGGGCCUCGCGUGCAGUGCUCUGUGGGGUUUACUCGUCAGCUGGACUGCUGUAGAGUUCCACUCAUGGGCAGCUGGACCCUGUCUCCUCAGAAUUGCUUCCUGCCUGUUCUCGGAGCUCCAAGGGCGUUACAUCACACUACCGAUGAGAACUCCGCCUGUUCCUGCAAAGCAUGCACUCCUGUAUCUGCAUAAGGUGAACAGGACAAACUCCCCCCAGGGGAACGCUUCCUUACCCAUCGGAGCUCCCGCAGCCUGGACCCCAGGAGGGCUACCCUGCGUCCCCCAGCACACUUGGGGCCUUCUUAUCCAGGACUCACAUGGGUUCAUAUUUCUUUUUCAUUUUUUAAAGGUUUAUUUAUUUGAAAGGUGGGGGGAGGGGAGGGGAGGGGAGGGGAGGGGAGAGGAGGGGGGAGAGAGAGAGAGAGAGAGAGAGAGAGAGAAAUCUAUCUUACAUCCGCUGGUUCACUCCCCAAAUGGCCACAACAGUUGGGGCUGGUCCAGGCAGAAGCCGGGAGCCUGGAGCUCCACGCAGGUCUCCCCUGUGGGCACAGAGGCUCAAGGACCUGAGCUAUCUUCUGCUGCUUUCCCAGGCGCAUCAGCAGGCAGCUGGAUGAAAAGUGGAGCAGCCGGGACUCAAACUGGCCUAAGUAAGGGAUGCCAGCAUCACAGACAGCGGCUUAACCUGCUAUGCUGUGCUGGCCCUGUACACGUUUCUUUUAAAGUUUUAUUUAUUUAUACGUUUAUUUUUAUUGAGAGGCAGAAAGGUGGGGGAGGGAAGAGACACAGAGAGAGAGAUCUUCCAUUUCCUGGUUCACUCUCCAAAAGCUCAUCACCGUCAGGGCUUGGCCAAGCUAACACCAGAGAUCAGAACCCAAUCUGUUUCCCAUCUGGUUUGCAAGGGCACAGAAGCAGGAAGCUGGAAUCAGAGGUGGAACCGGCUGGCGUCGAGGCUCACUUGGCUAAUCCUCUGCCUGCGGGGCCAGCACACCGGGUUCUAGUCCCGGUUGGGGCACCGGAUUCUGUCCCGGUUGCCCCUCUUCCAGGCCAGCUCUCUGCUGUGGCCCGGGAGUGCAGUGGAGGAUGGCCCAAGUGCUUGGGCCCUGCACCCCAUGGGAGACCAGGAGAAGCACCUGGCUCCUGGCUUCGGAUCAGCGCGGUGCACCGGCCACGGCGGCCUUUGGAGGGUGAACCAACGGCAAAAAGGAAGACCUUUCUCUCUGUCUCUCUCUCACUGUCCACUCUGCCUGUCAAAAAAAAAAAGUGGAACCAGGUCUGGAACCCGGGCACUCCAGAAAGGGUGCGGCACUCCCAAGCAGCAGCUUAA
rnacentral:lncRNA from 1 species